UAGGGAAUCUUCGGCAAUGGACGGAAGUCUGACCGAGCAACGCCGCGUGAGUGAAGAAGGUUUUCGGAUCGUAAAGCUCUGUUGUAAGAGAAGAACGAGUGUGAGAGUGGAAAGUUCACGCUGUGACGGUAUCUUACCAGAAAGGGACGGCUAACUACGUGCCAGCAGCCGCGGUAAUACGUAGGUCCCGAGCGUUGUCCGGAUUUAUUGGGCGUAAAGCGAGCGCAGGCGGUUAGAUAAGUCUGAAGUUAAAGGCUGUGGCUUAACCAUAGUACGCUUUGGAAACUGUUUAACUUGAGUGCAAGAAGGGAGAGUGGAAUUCCAUGUGUAGCGGUGAAAUGCGUAGAUAUAUGGAGGAACACCGGUGGCGAAAGCGGCUCUCUGGCUUGUAACUGACGCUGAGGCUCGAAAGCGUGGGGAGCAAACAGGAUUAGAUACCCUGGUAGUCCACGCCGUAAACGAUGAGUGCUAGGUGUUAGACCCUUUCCGGGGUUUAGUGCCGUAGCUAACGCAUUAAGCACUCCGCCUGGGGAGUACGACCGCAAGGUUG
rnacentral:rRNA from 1 species